rnacentral:tRNA from 1 species
GCGGGGAUAGCUCAGUUGGGAGAGCGUUAGACUGAAGAACUGAAGGUCGCGUGUUCGAUCCACGCUCACCGCA